GAUGAAGAACGCAGUGAAAUGCGAUAAUUAAUGUGAAUUGCAGAAUUCAGUGAAUCAUCGAGUCUUUGAACGCACAUUGCGCCCCCUGGUAUUCCGGGGGGCAUGCCUGUCCGAGCGUCAUUGCUGCCCUCAAGCACGGCUUGUGUGUUGGGCUUCCGUCCCCGGCAACGGGGACGGGCCCAAAAGGCAGUGGCGGCACCAUGUCUGGUCCUCGAGCGUAUGGGGCUUUGUCACCCGCUCCCGUAGGUCCAGCUGGCAGCUAGCCUCGCAACCAAUCUUUUUAACCAGGUUGACCUCGGAUCAGGUAGGGAUACCCGCUGAACUUAAGCAUAUCAAUAAGCGGAGGA
rnacentral:misc_RNA from 1 species